rnacentral:rRNA from 1 species
UACGAAGGGGGCUAGCGUUGCUCGGAAUCACUGGGCGUAAAGCGCACGUAGGCGGAUUGCUAAGUCAGGGGUGAAAUCCUGGAGCUCAACUCCAGAACUGCCCUUGAUACUGGCGGUCUCGAGUCCGGGAGAGGUGAGUGGAACUGCGAGUGUAGAGGUGAAAUUCGUAGAUAUCAGGAGGAACACCGGUGGCGAAGGCGGCCCUCUGGACGGUGACUGACGCUGAGACGCGAAAGCGUGGGGAGCAAACAGG